CCUACGGGGUGCAGCAGUGGGGAAUAUUGCGCAAUGGGCGAAAGCCUGACGCAGCGACGCCGCGUGAGGGAUGAAGGUCUUCGGAUCGUAAACCUCUGUCAGCAGGGAAGAACGGUCACUGUGCCAAUCAGCAGUGAAUUGACGGUACCUGCAAAGGAAGCACCGGCUAACUCCGUGCCAGCAGCCGCGGUAAUACGGAGGGUGCGAGCGUUAAUCGGAAUUACUGGGCGUAAAGCGCUCGUAGGCGGUAUGUCAAGUCAAGGGGGAAAUCCCCGCGCUCAACGUGGGAACUGCCUUUGAAACUGGUAAACUGGAGUGUGUGAGAGGAUAGUGGAAUUCCAGGUGUAGGAGUGAAAUCCGUAGAUAUCUGGAGGAACAUCAGUGGCGAAGGCGACUAUCUGGCACAUAACUGACGCUGAGGAGCGAAAGCGUGGGUAGCAAACAGGAUUAGAUACCCUUGUAGUC
rnacentral:rRNA from 1 species